UAACCAACUAGGUUUCCUGCCUCCGGGCCUU
rnacentral:piRNA from 1 species